rnacentral:lncRNA from 1 species
UCCUAGGACCCUUACUAGGUCUUUUAAUAUGUACUUCAUACAUCAUUUAGAAAAAUUCAUUCAACAACUGCACACACAUUUGAUUACAAAUCACAUGUAACAAAUUCUUCAGAUCCACUAAGACGUCUAACGAAUAAGUAAACAAUUGCACGACAUGAAACUUCAGAUCCAGCGCACUCUGAACCGCCAUCAUUCUGAACUACCACAAAAGUUGAAGUCUAUCAACACACUUUCUCGUUUUGCAUUAUGUGCAUCUGGGACCCAAUUUCAAACCAUUUCCUGAUGGAAUGCUUGAAGUUUGUCCUGAAAAAAUUGUGAAAAUCAAUUUUCAGUGAACAAUAAAACUUAGAACUUUUAGUCUAAUAGUGAAUGGAACAAAUACGUACGGUGUUGUAUUUAGGCAUCGUCUUCCCCUCAUAGUCAACCAUACCAUUUCACACCUCAAUAUAUUUCAAAACCAAAACUCCACAAUCCCUACAUAAAUGAAAGCCCAUCAAAAUAAAUUACAUAUUCAUAUAGACGAACACUCACUUCCAAUUUCCAUAAAAAGUUUCCAUGGGUCUGGGCAGGAAGUGUAAUGUGGAUCACCACAAAUUCCUACUAGAGUCACCACAUACUAUCACUUUAUAAGUUGAGUGAUUUUUUGUGCUCAGUUCACACUGUCCUACUCUCAUGACUUCUAAGGAACUCAUUUAACUCACUUUCUCCCCACCUCAUGCCCCAUGCCCCUCCCCAACUAAGACGAACACUCACUUCCUUCAUAAAAAGUUUCUCUGGGUUUGUGCAGGAAGUGUAAUGUGGGUCACCACAUAUUCCUACUAGAGUCGCCAUUGUCACCCUCUAAAAACCUUAUUUAACUCACUUUCUCCCUAAAUCAGCCCCCGCCCCAACUAGAAUAGCUUCAAAAAAUGUCUUUUUUGGAGAAAAAAAUUACUAAAAAAGCAUACAUACUUACACAAACUAAGUAAACACAAAUAUAUACUUUUAACAAUAUAUUACACAAAAAAACAAUUCAUGCUGCAUAAAAUAACCAAAUAGUAAACUCAAACAACUAUGACCACAUCAGAUUCAAACAUAGACUUUGGCUCAUACAAGGGUCAGCACCUGACAAAUAACACGGAUCACCUAAUACAAAACACACAACAUGAAUGUUUCACUUAAUAAACAAAUGAAUAGAAAAUGUAUUACCUUUGGUCACCAAACUCUAAACCCACGCUAAAAGAGAAGUUGGACGAGAAACCUUGAGAAGAAGGUGGAAGACAACGAAGAACGUCACUUGCAGCAAGAACAUCAAGGAGAACGUCAAGGAGAAUGAAGGAUGCGCACAACACUUGCAGCAGUGAAGGACAAUACGCACGACACUUGCACGAGAAUGAAGGAACGUAAACAAGAAUGAAGGACAAUGCCUA